AACGAACGCUGGCGGCAGGCUUAACACAUGCAAGUCGAACGCUCGUGGCAACACGGGAGUGGCGGACGGGUGAGUAACGCGUGGGAACGUGCCCUGAGGUUGGGAAUAACUGCGGGAAACUGCAGCUAAUACCUGAUGCGCCCCGAGAGGGGGAAAGAUUUAUCGCCUUGGGAGCGGCCCGCGUCGGAUUAGCUAGUUGGUGGGGUAACGGCCUACCAAGGCUUCGAUCCGUAGCUGGUCUGAGAGGACGAUCAGCCACACUGGGACUGAGACACGGCCCAGACUCCUACGGGAGGCAGCAGUGGGGAAUCUUGCGCAAUGGGGGCAACCCUGACGCAGCCAUGCCGCGUGAAUGAUGAAGGCCUUAGGGUUGUAAAGUUCUUUUGCCCGUGACGAUGAUGACGGUAACGGGAGAAUAAGCUCCGGCUAACUUCGUGCCAGCAGCCGCGGUAAGGCACGACUG
rnacentral:rRNA from 1 species